GCUAGUAAUGGCAGGUCAGCAUACUGCCGUGAAUACGUUCCCGGGCCUUGUACACACCGCCCGUCACACCAUGAGAGUUGGGGAUGCCCGAAGCCUGUGAGCUAACUUAUAGAGGCAGCAGUCGAAGGUAGAAUCAAUGAUUGGGGUGAAGUCGUAACAAGGUAUC
rnacentral:rRNA from 1 species